ACCCGCUGAAUUUAAGCAUAUCAAUAAGCGGAGGAAGAGAAACUAACCAGAAUUCCCGCAGUAACGGCGAGCGAAGUGGGAAGAGCUCAGCCUGUAAUCCCUGGCAAAAAUGCCAGCGAAUUGUGGCCGGUAGAGGUGGCUUGGUCCUGUCCCGUGGCAUCAAAGUUGACCUGGAAGGGCACGUCGGAGAGGGUGAGAACCCCGUUGCUGAUCCCGCGUGUGGGCAGACGCCGCCUUCCGAGAGUCGGGUUGUUUGGGAAUGCAGCCCAAAGUGGGUGGUAAACUCAAUCUAAAGCUAUAUACUGACACGAGACCGAUAGCAAACAAGUACCAUGAGGGAAAGGUGAAAAGUACUUUGAAACGAGAGUCAAAGAGACCGUGAAACCGUUUGAAGGGAAGAGAAUGCAGCCUGAUGAUUCCGUUCGGGUUCAGGGAUGGUCAGUUGAGCAGACAGUUUGGGUUACUCGCAAGAGUGUCCUGUCUUGCUUUGUCAGCUACCCUUCUGCAUUCCCGUCUUGGAGUAGGCCAACGAGGGCGGCUGGUGGUCAGUUACAGGCCAGAGGGUAGGCAGUGGUUCCUGGGUCUUUGGGGAACUUACAGCCUCUGGUCAUUUUAGUUGCUAGCUGCCGAGGAGGUGUGUGCGACCUUCGCACAAUUCAGCGCAGGCUCCGCAGGGGCCGGGUCGCUUCUGGCCGUGUGGGAGGCGCACAAGGGACUGCAUGCAGUGCCUGCUGACGCCCUCAUCACUCGGACGGGAGGCGGCCACGACGUGCGCUGGAUUGUUGGUUGAGGGAUGGCUUCAUCCGACCGUCUUGAACACAGACCAAGGAGUGCAAGAGGCGUGCGAGUCUUUGGGUGUAGUCCCCAAACCCGAGGACGUAAUGAAGGUGAAGGGAGACUCGUCUCCCGAGGCGAGAGCCAGUCAUUUGAGUGGCCCAUCGUCAACCGAUCCCAGUUCACGCUGUGGCGGGAUUCGAGUUAGAGCGUGUCUGUUGCGACCCGAAAGAUGGUGAACUAUGCCUGAAUAGGGCGAAGCCAGAGGAAACUCUGGUGGAAGCUCGUAGCGGUUC
rnacentral:rRNA from 1 species